rnacentral:rRNA from 1 species
UGGGCGUAAAGGACGCGUAGGCGGAUUAUCAAGUCUCUUGUGAAAUCUAGUGGCUUAACCACUAAACUGCUUGGGAAACUGAUAAUCUAGAGUAAGGGAGAGGCAGAUGGAAUUCUUGGUGUAGGGGUAAAAUCCGUAGAGAUCAAGAAGAAUACUUAUUGCGAAGGCGAUCUGCUAGAACUUAACUGACGCUAAUGCGUGAAAGCGUGGGGAGCAAACAGGAUUAGAUACCCUGGUAGUCCACGCCCUAAACGAUGUAUACUGGUUGUUGCUAUGCUAGUCAUGGCAGUAAUCCACCUAACGGAUUAAGUAUACCGCCUGGGGAGUACGGUCGCAAGAUUAAAACUCAAAGGAAUAGACGGGGACCCGCACAAGCGGUGGAGCAUGUGGUUUAAUUCGAAGAUACGCGAAGAACCUUACCCAGACUUGAUAUCUAACAAAUCAUCUAGAGAUAGAAGAGUGUCUGCUUGCAGAAAUGUUAAGACAGGUGCUGCACGGCUGUCGUCAGCUCGUGUCGUG